rnacentral:rRNA from 1 species
UGGGGAAUCUUGCGCAAUGGGCGAAAGCCUGACGCAGCAACGCCGCGUGCGGGAUGAAGGCCUUCGGGUUGUAAACCGCUUUCAGCAGGGACGAACGUGACGGUACCUGCAGAAGAAGCCCCGGCUAACUACGUGCCAGCAGCCGCGGUAAUACGUAGGGGGCAAGCGUUAUCCGGAUUUAUUGGGCGUAAAGAGCGCGUAGGCGGUCUGUUAAGCGAGAUGUGAAAACCGGGGGCUCAACCCGUGGCCUGCAUCUCGAACUGGCAGACUUGAGUCUGGUAGAGGAAAGUGGAAUUCCUGGUGUAGCGGUGAAAUGCGCAGAUAUCAGGAGGAACACCAGUGGCGAAGGCGGCUUUCUGGACUGUGUCUGACGCUGAGAUGCGAAAGCCAGGGUAGCGAACGGG